rnacentral:rRNA from 1 species
CCCAGGUCAGGCGGGGCUACCCGCUGAAUUUAAGCAUAUCAUAAGGCCGGAGGAA